UAAUUACUACUUCCUUGUCCCAAAUUGCUUGUUUUAAAUUUGUCUAGAUACAGAUGCAUGCAACACUAAACGUGUGUAGAUACAUCCCUAUCUAGACAAAUUUGAGACAAGUAAUUCGGGACGGAGGUAAUACAUA
rfam:Triticum urartu cultivar G1812 contig1139111, whole genome shotgun sequence.